rnacentral:rRNA from 1 species
AUUGAACGCUGGCGGCAGGCCUAACACAUGCAAGUCGAGCGGAGGAAGGGAGCUUGCUCCUGGAUUCAGCGGCGGACGGGUGAGUAAUGCCUAGGAAUCUGCCUGGUAGUGGGGGAUAACGUCCGGAAACGGGCGCUAAUACCGCAUACGUCCUGAGGGAGAAAGUGGGGGAUCUUCGGACCUCACGCUAUCAGAUGAGCGUAGGGCGGAUUAGCUAGUUGGUGGGGUAAAGGCCUACCAAGGCGACGAUCCGUAACUGGUCUGAGAGGAUGAUCAGUCACACUGGAACUGAGGCACGGUCCAGACUCCUACGGGAGGCAGCAGUGGGGAAUAUUGUUCAAUGGGCGAAAGCCUGAUCCAGCCAUGCCGCGUGUGUGAAGAAGGUCUUCGGAUUGUUGAGCACUUUAAGUUGGGAUGAAGGGCAGUAAGUUAAUACCUUGCUGUUUUGACGUUACCAACAGAAUAAGCACCGGCUAACUUCGUG